UGUAAACCUUAUCUACAACAUCCAUUGGCAAUUAAAUAUGGCAAUUUAUAUAUUAUUCGGUCACAUAUAGAAAUAUAGUACUAAAUAAAUACACAGUGGACUCACCAGGCCAGUGAAGUUCCACCAGCGGCUCUAAGUGGUCGAUGGCAGCCGCGAUGCUGGUGCUGGGCAGGUGUCCGUCGCUUUCAAUGGCUCCGUCGUCAUCACAACUUUCAAUCCAAGUGUCAGUGAGUUCUUUGCCCAAGGAGAUAACUGCCUUGUUAUACUCCACGUUGCUGCAGUUCGCCUGGAGGAAGCUCAGCACCACCAAGGCGGCGUUUUGCUCGCUGGACAACUUGUCACUAGAGAACUUCUAAAACAUCUCAUACGGAAGAGAAACAAGCGUGGACAAACAUCUGAAGACGCUGCUAACGCUAAAGCUAAGUAGCCUUACCUACUUCGUCACGUCUAGCUAAGUUAGCUCACAGGCUAGCUAAUGCUAGCAAAGUUCGAACAUAGCCCAAAUACAGCCUAAAGCAAACUCCUUCCACCUCAGAGACAUUUUUUGUAGUUAAAAGUUGAAGAAAAAUAAGUUGGUGCACCAUACAGACAAGCAUCAGCUCUUCAUCUGAGGGGCAUUCUGUCUCCCUCAAGCAGAAGUCACUGCAUGGCUGUCCUGAACUUCUCCACAUUGAGUUCUCGACGUAGCUCAGCCGCCAGCCUCCCGGUCCUCUCCUGUCUCAAGACACUGUGCUUGCAAAGCUGCCGAGCAGAAGGCCGUUUGGUCGGGUCUGGAUCCAACAACAACUAAACAAAAAAAAAGGUUCAAAUUCAACCAACCAGAGUGAACAAGUGAUUUUCUGCCAUACGAACCAAAGCUUCACAGAGGAAAGGGGGGUACCUGGAGCAGACUGCGGAAGGGAGCAGAGAGCUCCCUUGGAAGCAUGGGGAGGUUCCCCUCUCUGAGGCGGUGCCACUCCUCUCCAUUUUGGGGCAUUGGAGGAGCGCCUGCUGCCAGUAGCACUGUGAGGCCCAAAGCAAAGAUGUCCGCCAUGGGAAGAUUGCCGUAAUCCUAGCGCACACGAGAAAGACAAACACUUCAACUACACCUUGUAGAUAUUUAUUUUCAAUGGCUCCAUUUUACCUCAUGCAGAACCUCAGUGGCCAGAAAGCGGCUGUCCCCCUCUUCAACUUGAGGAGAAUUGCUUGAGGUCACAUGACCCAGAUCUCCUGUGUGGAGGAAAAAGAGUAAUACGGAUGCACCUCUUACACAUACAGUAUCAUGCCAUGUACCCAUCAUACACAAAACAUACCAAUUUUGUAUGUGACUCCUGCUGGAUGGGUUCCUUCAUCCUCUUCCUCACUCUCACCCACGCCCAGUGUGCUUGAGACAGAACGCUGGCAAAUGAAUAUAUUGCCUGCACAUACAUUUGACGUCUUUAAUGCUGAGGCGUUUUAAUAGCGGACCCAUUACAUGCAUUAAUAGCUAUCUGUUUUGACAUCUUUAGAAUGAACAGAAAGAAAAAGACGUGUUCAUGUCUCACAUAAGGAUUGUGGAUGAUGUGCAAAAUUACAAAAGAGUGCAGUUUUCCUUCAAGGGUACUUUUACUUUUUCUUCAUUGAAGAAAUGAUGAAAAGUGGUGGGGGUUGAUCUCGCUGCCACAUUGUGUUUUUGGGAACAGUCAGGUCUUCAGUGGGGGUAAAAGUAACCCUAAAUGUUCAUUCAUCCCUUUCAUUCGUCAUUUAUAUGCAUUUAGAAUAUUUUUUUAUGCAUAUAAAACUAUAAAAACAUGUUUUGCGUUAACAUUCCAACCGCUGAUGACAUCACAUACUGGCGACAUAAUGUAGCUGACUUUUGGUUGACAUUUUGUUGAACUAGCUCAUAGGAUGCUAACAGGGAAGGCACGUUUAUUGAUUUAAAAACUAAAAAAACACGGACUCGCACAGUGUAUUAACAAGACGGGCGGCGUAUUGUACGCUGACCUGAGAAUGCAUGUAAAAAUAGGCAACAUUGUUACAUAAAUUUUUCAAUGUUAACCCAAAAAAAAAAAAACAAAAAAAAAAAACACCUGCUAACCACGGCGGUUCCACUGUAUAUAUGUACUUAUAUGCAUUUAGAAAUAUUGUAAACAUGUAAUAACUAUCAUUGUAAAACUAUAAAAAUGUUUUGUUUUAACAUUUGGUUUGUCAGCCACCGAUUCGCUGCUAAAUGUUCCACGUGAACCGAAAAACAUGCUAACCGGGGCGUGCACUCACCGAGCUUCCACUGCAGUGUGAAUGAAUGAUCAGUGAUAGACAUAGAAGGGGUAGGAUUAAAUAAACUUCUUCCUGCUCCUUUUUGGACACCUUGAAUUGUGCAAAUAUAAAACAUGUGACGUUCCCCAAGUGUAACUUGUUUAGCUUGUCUGAAACCAGACGUUUGUGUGUCAGAAAACCAUACCAUACCACUUGCAAUGUUAAAAAUAUGAAAACAAAUCCUGGUUUUCUGCACCUUUAUCCAUAUCUGCAUUGAAAUGACUGCAUUCCUCGGCUCAUGGCUUACUUCCUACUAAACAACCAACCACAGGACAAAACAUAACAUCCUUCAUGGAGUAGUAAAGAGUAAAGUAAAAAAAAACUAACAAACAAAAAAACAAAAAAAGACUCACUUGGUUUGAUGUCCAGGUGCACAAGUCCUAAACUAUGGAUGUAUUUAAGACCCAAAGACACUUGAAGGAUCAAAUCUUUCAACUCUGCUUCUGAAAACAUCCCCUUUGUCCUGAUGACAUCACUCAGACUUCCACCUGGCUCAUGCGCACACAAAAUAUGGGAUCGUCAAAACUGCACACACUUCCAUUCAUCUUGCACGUUUAAAAAGCAUGCAGCCGUCUACCCACCAUUGCAAUAUUCAUUUUGAAUAAUCAUGUGGUCUUCCUCGGCCCAGGCGGAGUAAUAGCGGACGACAUGAGGAUGAUGGCCAAGAACUGCAUGUGCGUAUACUUCCUUCAGAGCCAGCUUCCUAAGACGACGAUGGAAAAGAAAAUGGACUCAGCAGUCAACGUCAAGCACAGGACACGUGCGAUAUAGACAACCUUUCACACUCACAUUCACACCUGUGGAGUGUUACCAAUUAACCCAGUGGUUGUCAAUUAUUUUCAGAAAUAUGAGAGGCGGGGUACACCGUGGACUGGUUGCAAACAUGUAAACAAAGAACCAUUCACACUCACAUUCAUACUUUUGGACAAUUUACAGUCGCCAGUUAACCUAACAUGCAUGUUUUUAGAAUGUGGGAGGAAACCGGAGUACACGGCAAAAACCCACGCACGCACGCACGUCUUCCCGAUCUCCUGACUGUGUGGCCAACAUGCUAACCACUCGGCCACCGUGUUUCUCAUUCAUGAAAAGAUUAAUUGACCAAAAGUUACACGAACCAUAUUAAAAACACUUUCUAUGAUUAAUUACAAGGGUGUCCAAAGUGCGGCCAGGUGCCGCUAAAAUUGGCCCGUUGUAAAACAUUCAUUAUUAAUGAUACAGUAGUUCCAUGCUUUUUACGAGGGUUACAUUCCAGCUCCAUGAGCUAAGUAAUUGACACACCGCUAAAAAUGUCUAUUCUUCACACACAGCUAGCUUCCCCCCCAAACCUUUCUGCCAGCUUGACAUUCUCUGAUUUUGGAUCAACACUUGCAAGAAAAGUGACUUAUAAUUCAGCUCUAGAACCCUCCCAGUCUCUCUUAAGUACGCCUCACACACUUAUUCAAAUCAUUCUACAAUCAGAGUCACAGUGUGUAAUUUAUAUGCAAGGACCGCCAGCGAAAUCUUAACACUUGACAAAAAAGAAAGAAAAAAAACAUUGUCACAGAAGCUUAAAGACAAUCACGUAAAAAAAAACCAACCAAAAAAAAAAGUGUUUUUCAACAUCCCCAAUUUAAAUGGGAACAUUUCAUCACAAAAAGCUGCUCACAUACAAAGUGUAUGGCUUGGCAGUAUCAAGCUGCAAGACUCACUCAUCGGCGGAGCCUGCGAGGGGUCGUCGGGAUCGUUUGAUGGCGUACAGGCAACCAUCCAGCCUCUUCACACACUUGUAAACUGUCCCAUACUCGCCCACGCCGAUGCGCUCCAGCUCCAGGAAGUCGCUCUCAUACCGUGACAGCAUGAAGGCUUGGACAGCUUGCCUCUGCACACGAACGCACAGUAUCACAAAGAUGAUUGUUGACUUUGAUUACAGCCACAAGCGGACGCUUUUCUUUUGCUAAUAUUGGUGCGUUCAGGCAAGCUUUGCUUCAUGUCGUCAGACGUUCCUUCAAGGAAUUCCGGAUGAAGUGUCAGUUGGACAAGAAAGGAAUUGGAAGCGGAAGGCGGGGAUGACGCAGCAGAGGAUGAAGAGAAGCUGUCAGUGAUAAAAAUAGCUGUACCUUUGGUGGGAGGAAGUAGUCAUCAUCCUCCUCUGAUGAUGUCAGGCUGUGUUUCAACCUAAAAGACAAAAUAGUCACAUUUAACAACAACAUCGACAAAGUAUUAGUAAUACAAUAAAAUAAAUAUUAAAAAAGACACUUUCAAAUACUGUGACCAGGUAUUCACACUGUCAUGAUCUCUUGAUGGCAAAGGCAAAAAAGUUAUAUUUUUGAACACAGUCGGACUGUUUACAGCGCAAUUGCUGCUGAGGUAGGACGCAGUAAGUCAUUUGAAACGUCUUCAAAGAUCCUGAAGGUUGCGGAUCUUUGAAGCCGGAGGAUUCCAUUGGCUGUUCGUCGAAACAUGGGACAUUGAAAGGUGGAAAAAAGUUUUAUUCUCUGAUGAAAAAAAAAUCGAACUUUGAUGGUCCUGACGGCUUCCAACGUUACUGGCAUGACAAGUAGAUCCCACCUGAGAUGUUUUCCACACGACACAGUGGAGAGGGCACCAUCAUAAUCUGGGGUGCCUUUUCCUUCAAUGGAACAAUGGCGCUUCAGGUUGUGCAGGGGCGUCAAACGGCAGCUGGCUAUGUUGCAGGUGGCAUCCCUCAUGACUGAAGGUCCUCGUCUGUGUGGUAAUGACUGGCUUUUUCAACAGGACAACACUGCAGUUCACAAUGCCCGCAUGACAAAGGACUUCUUCCAUAGGAAUAAACUCACUCUUUUGGACCAUCCUGUGUCUUCCCCUGAUAUAAAUCCUAUUGAGAACAUGUGGGGAUGGAUGUCAAGGGAAGUUUACAAAAAUGGACAUCAGUUCCAGACAGUGGAUGCCCUAUGUGAAGCCAUCGUCACCACCUGGAGCAACAUUCCCACUAGCCUCCUGGAAACACUGGCAUCAAGCAUGCCCAAAGCAAUUUUAGCGGUGAUUAACAAGAAUGGCACAAUUUCUAUUUCAGAGGUAUUAUGGUGUUAAACUUUUGAUCAGCUGAUGAGCAGCCUAUUUCACUUUAAUGCUUGUUUACAAUAAAUUGCUUCCUCAAAA